GGCUUUAGUCAUGGUGUUUAUGCCCUUGAAGGGGAUUAUGGGCUCUCGCUCUCUCUCUCUUUCUCCUGGAAUGAGAUGUACCACCCCUAAUUCACAUUUCCGUCAGCCAGAUGCCACAAAGUGAUACAGUUAAGGGGCAGCCCUCACAUAGCCUGCUUGCUCUACGCCAUUUGACUUUGAAGAUCCAAAAUGAAGCUAAUGAACCUUCUCCUUUAUAGUUAGUUAUCUCAGGUAUUUUGAUGUAGUAAGGAGAAGCUGACUAAUAUAAUUGGAUUAUCUUAAUGAUUCUAUUGUAGGAGAAAACUUAUUUUGCUUGGUUAGGGCCUUUAGUGUCAAUAAGUAAAGAAAAAUGUGGCUAAAUUUUCAUAAGUUAAUUUAAUUCUCAAAUACACGAGAAUCAAGUUGCAGUAACAUUUAUACAUGCUGAUAACUCUAAGCAAGGCCUAAGGCCCAGUGCAAAUUUUAGGGCAUUUGUAGAACUGUAAUUUUAAAUUUACUGUUUUUUCUUUCUUUCUGGGAUACUUGGGUAUCUUUUUCCACUUGGGUCUUAGAGCUAACUACUCUUGUUACAGAUACUAGUGAACAUUUGUACUCAAUGAACUCAAAUCCUAGUAUAGAUUGAUUUUGUACUAUGAGCUCCACUGGGCUUAGUCUGUGAAUUCUGGCCCAAAUAGUAAAAUAUACUCAACUAGAGUGAUUAAAAUAAUGCGCAAUUGGAUAUUCUUCCUUUCUGACUCAUUUCUGGGAAUAAAGUCUAAAAAUUUAUUAAAUAUCUGUAUCUCAGACAUCAAUUCAAAGUCAUGGAGUUUAUGCCCUUAAAAGUGAAUUAAUUAGCCCUAAGUUAUAAUGCUUAUUGAUUGUUUGAGAAAGACAUAUAAUCUUAUUUAGGUUUAAAAUUCCCUGAGGUGUGUAUCUUUUUUGGAUUUCUCUCUCUCUCUCUCUCUCUCUCUCUCUCCUUAGAUUUAAAAGUUAGUGGCUCAACCAUUGAAUUCAUCUACCCACAGAGUCCCAUCUCAGGGCUGGCUUCUUGCCAAGAUUUUGGGGUGGAAACUUGCAGAUCUUGUGCGGCUAGCAGACCGAAGUCCUUUCCCUGUGUGAAUGAGGAUGGAACCAGGCCAGGAUUGGAGCUCUUAGCACUGCAUCUGAUCACCCUGGGCAAGUGGCUUAGCUUCCUUCUCUCAGUAUCUGUUUUGUUUUACAUCAAAUAAGUUAAUGCUUGUCUUCUACCUAAGGAGCCAUGCAAGGGAUAACAAAGAAAAGCAUGCUUAAUGAAUUACCAAGUGCUAUUCAUUCAUGAAGUUCUGUUGGGAAUGAAUGAUUGCCUAGGC
rnacentral:lncRNA from 1 species